GAAAUGCGAUAAGUAAUGUGAAUUGCAGAAUUCAGUGAAUCAUCGAAUCUUUGAACGCACCUUGCGCUCCUUGGUAUUCCUUGGAGCAUGCCUGUUUGAGUAUCAUGAAAUCUUCAAAGUAAAUCUUUUGUUAACUCAAUUGGUUUCUACUUUGGUAUUGGAGGUCUUUGCAGCUUCACACCUGCUCCUCUUUGUUCAUUAGCUGGAUCUCAGUGUUAUGCUUGGUUCCACUCGGCGUGAUAAGUUAUCUAUCGCUGAGGACACUGUAAAAGGUGGCCAAGGUAAAUGCAGAUGAACCGCUUCUAAUAGUCCAUUGACUUGGACAAUACUUUUAUGAUCUGAUCUCAAAUCAGGUCGUACUACCCGCUGAACUUAAGC
rnacentral:misc_RNA from 1 species